rnacentral:lncRNA from 1 species
CCUUAACCCUCGGGCCCUCAGAGUCCCAAACGCGAGUGAGAGCAGAUCUGAGAAAAUGAGAGAUGUGAAACACAGAGAAGGUCUGGAAACCCUAACAAUGGCAUUGUCUCUGUGAUCGGAGCCUUCGCUGUAGAUCAGAGACAUGAGCGUGAAGAAAGAGAGAGACGACGAGGCAUGAAGAAAAGCUCCUCCAAUGCGAUUCUUGUUUUGCGAGAUUUAACGCCUCGAUGACCGCCAUUGAUCCACGAUCGGAUCCGUUCAAGAGCUCACCGUUGAAAUCGCGUAGUAAUUAACACCAAGACCAGAGAUCUGAUGGGGCUAGGUAUGGGAUUUCCAGGACCCGUCAAAGUUGAUUUUGAAAUUUAGGGUUUACUGAGAUCAUUGUUUUUUAUUUGAUAGAGCGACAUGCCUGAGGAAUUAAUUAGUAGGUCGGUCUUUAAUUCAAUGCAUUAAUGCGUUCGCUGUUUGUUUCCAUUCCAGGUACUCCCUGUCUGCUUGCUCAAGAUGCGAUAGGGUGCGAUGUGGACUGAUAGAGGCACUGACAGCGGGCCUUCCAUAUCUUUAAGGUUUUACUCCUUACUCAUUCAAGCAUGUGGAUGUAUGUUUUUCUUUUGUAAAAUUUCAUUUUUUGUUUUUAAAUGGAAACAAAAUGAACAAAAAUAAGUUUCCAGAGGCAAAUAGCAUAGUAUUGUUGAAAACUUGAACGAUAUAUCUGACAAAAACAAAAUUGACACACAUUAUGGGAGCUCUUUGAAAUAGCAUAUUUUUGUUGAAUGAUGUAUUCUGAUAUGAGUGAGUGGGGGACGGUAUCUCACAUAUGGAAUCAGGAACAUUGUGACAUUACAUCAGUGAUACAUGGUGGCGUGGUGAAUUUAGAAAGUAAUCAUUUGUAGCAAUAUCGGAUGGUCUAAUAACCAUGCAUAAUUAGACUGUUCGGCAACUUGAUGUUCUGACCAAAAGAGAACAUCGGAUGAUGGGGUUUCUCUAACUUUCAAUGUAACAUGAGUUGGAAGACAUUAGAACGUGAAAAAUCACAAAUGGGUUAGUGCAUUAUUCAAAUAUUGUCGCACACAAUGUUCUAGUCAAUGUCAGUAAUCUGAGCUUCUGAACUUUUCAAGUUAGGAUGAGAAUGCAAGGAGUCUCAGAAGUUCUCAGUAUUUGCUUUUGCAUCUAUGCACCCAAGCAAUGUUCAUAGGUUAUUACCAUGGAAAUAAAAUUUGAAGCAGUAAAUUUCGUAGAACUAAAAUUUAUCUGCCCACAUUGUCAAAUAUAUACGGAGGAUAGAUUGGCAGUUAUAAAUUUAGAAGUCUAUUCACUCUCUCUCUGUCUCUGGUGUUCUGUUAUAUUUCCUAGUUGUAGUUGGUACAUAUCAAUCUUAAUUUGAUAUAAUUUCUCAUUGAAGUUGUUUAUCAUUCAUAUUUUGUUAUCUAUUGACAAUACCUUUGGAUUGUGUACAAGCUGGAAGAUAUAAAACAUAUAUAAUUUCUGUUUUAAUUGUUUUCCGUGUAUUGGCAGGUAUUCUUUUUGGUAGUAAAAUGGUGUUUAAAAUGAAGUUAUGAAUGUACAAAUGUAGUAAUAGAGUAUUUUAAAAUGUUUCUUCAGGAUGUUGUGUUCUGGUUUGCGAUCUUUAACAUUCAGUGGUUAUCCCACACCAAACGUUCUUCCUAUGAGUUGCAGCAUCUUGCAUUUUAAACAAAAGAACCUGUUGUUCUAUGUAUUUUUUGUUAUUGACAUAACAAACUGUUCUUCCUAUCAUUCCCACUUGUUGCAUUUUAACUUUAAUUUUUUUAUUCUAUGGUUUUUUUAUAUGCUUUUAUAUUACUACCUUUCAAGUUUGUCCACAUUUUAAAGACAUUAUCGUUCCUGAAAUGCCAGCCUUUUAUUUUGUAGGUAAUUUUUGAGGAUUGAUGUUUCUUCUAGAGACAUGCAAUGAAUUUUUUUGUCAGUUAGUUCGUUAGUGCGACUUUCUUAUGUUUGUUGUGUCGUACACUUGCACAUUCAGUAGUUCUGCUGCGGUUCAACUUAUUAUUUUGCACACUGACCAUCUGGUUUAUUUCAGUGUUUAUUCCAAUUGUUAUUAUUUCUGAUGGUUCUAGUUGUUUAAUUUUGUCUCAACUUUUGAGUCUUGAUAUUAUUUUAUUAAUUGUUUAACUGUUUUUUUUUUCCCCCAGGUUCGCCUCAAAUUUCCCUUUUGUUUUUUUGACUAAUUUGAUCUAAUUUCAAUCAAAACAAGUCUGUAUAAUAUCAAUUCUUUUAUUUGAGUGCUGCGGAUUGUAGUUUUUACUUGGAUAUACUUCCGAC